rnacentral:rRNA from 1 species
UCAAGCUACUAAGAGCGUACGGUGGAUGCCUUGGCGUCGAGAGGCGAUGAAGGACGUAGUAAGCUGCGAAAAGCUUCGGUGAGUCGCAAACAGACUUCGAUCCGGAGAUUUCCGAAUGGGGAAACCCAUCACGGGUAAUGCCGUGUUAUCCGUCCCUGAAUAAAAUAGGGGACGUGAAGCGAACCGAGGGAAGUGAACCAUCUCAGUACCUCGAGGAAAAGAAAACAAUAGUGAUUCCCUGAGUAGCGGCGAGCGAACGGGGAACAGCCCAAACCGAUUGUGUGUCAAGCUGAGGAGCGUUGCACAAUCGGGGUCGUGGGAUUCAGCGUGACCGGGUCCUCAACCGGUCAAAGAGUUACAAAGCAGAUUGCUAAACGAACGGUCUGGAAAGGCCGGCGAAACAGGGUGAUAGCCCCGUAGUUGAAAGUGAUUUGUCUCUUUGCUGAACACCCAAGUAGAGCGGGACACGUGGAACCCUGCUUGAAUUCGGGAGGACCAUCUUCCAAGGCUAAAUACUACUCGACGACCGAUAGUGAACCAGUACCGUGAGGGAAAGGUGAAAAGUACCCCUUUUAGGGGAGUGAAAUAGUACCUGAAACCGUACGUUUACAAGCAGUGGGAGGGCGUUUACUUGUUCUUCGGAACUUGUGUUGCCCGACCGCGUGCCUUUUGCAUAAUGAGCCGGCUAGUUACUCUAUGUAGCAAGGUUAAGCGAUAAGCGAGCCGCAGCGAAAGCGAGUCUUAAUAGGGCGACAGUUGCAUGGAGUAGACGCGAAGCUGAGUGAUCUAUCCUUGGCCAGGGUGAAGCUUAUGUAACAGUAAGUGGAGGCCCGAACCUGUUUGGGUUGAAAACCGAUUGGAUGAGCCGAGGAUAGGGGUGAAAGGCCAAUCAAACUCAGUUAUAGCUCGUUCUCCCCGAAAUAGCUUUAGGGCUAGCCUCUCGUGAUGAGUAACGGUGGUAGGGAUCUGAAUGGACUAGGGGCCCUAAAAGGUUACUGAAUCCAACCAAACUUCGAAUGCCGUUAACUGCUAACGAGGGAGUCAGACUACGUGGGAUAAACUUCGUGGUCGAAAGGGAAACAGCCCAGACCGCCAGCUAAGGUCCCCAAAUUUAGGCUAAGUGGGAAAGGAUGUGGAGACGCCCAUACAACCAGGAGGUUGGCUUAGAAGCAGCCAUCCUUUAAAGAAAGCGUAACAGCUCACUGGUCGAGCGGCUCCGUGCCGAUAAUGUAACGGGGCUCAAGCCUAAUACCGAAGCUGCGGAAUGUCUUCGGACAUUGGUAGGGGAGCAUUCCAUUCAGGAGCGAAGGUGGACCGUGAGGACCACUGGACCGGAUGGAAGAGACUCUGCCGGCAUAAGUAGCGAUAAGGCAGGUGAGAAACCUGCCCGCCGAAAGUCUAAGGUUUCCUGAGGAAGGUUAAUCCGCUCAGGGUUAGUCGGUCCCUAAGCCGAGGUCGAAAGGCGUAGGCGAUGGGAAGCAGGUUAAUAUUCCUGCACUACCGGGAAUGCAUUUGAGCGAUGGGGUGACGCAGUAGGAUAGGCAUACAUGCGAUUGGAAGUGCAUGGCCGCAAUCGUAGGGGGGCUGGCUAGGUAAAUCCGGCUGGCUAUUAAACCCUGAGGAACGUGGGGAAGUGCGCCUUCGGGCAAACCAACUUGUUGAUUCCACACUGCCAAGAAAAACCUCUAGUGAGUAUUCCAGGUAACCGUACCCUAAACCGACACAGGUAGACAAGGAGAGAAUCCUAAGGCGCUUGAGAGAACUCUUGCUAAGGAACUCGGCAAACUAACCCCGUAACUUCGGAAGAAGGGGUGCCUCGUUAGGGUGAUUCUUUUACUUGAUGAGCUCGAGGAGGUUGCAGAGAAAUGGCCCAGGCGACUGUUUACUAAAAACAUAGGACUCUGCUAAGUCGAAAACGACGUAUAGGGUCUGACGCCUGCCCGGUGCCGGAAGGUUAAAAGGAGGGGUUAGCUUCUUCGGAAGCGAAGCUCUGAAUUGAAGCCCCGGUAAACGGCGGCCGUAACUAUAACGGUCCUAAGGUAGCGAAAUUCCUUGUCGGGU